ensembl:lncRNA
AUGGUGCCAUGCGUACACGCGUAAAACAUUACCCCGUGCACAUUUACGCACAUGUGGCCACUUUCUUGUGCCUGCCUGGUGACGCCUAUGAAUUUCUUCCCCCCAUCCCUAAAUGAGAGCCAGGAGCGUCACACGAACACGGCGGGGUCAGUGACCGCGCACGCCGCCUGUUUAUCCGUAUGAGAGGUGCUCGGGAGCGCGCCCCCCUUGGCCGCGGAAGGACCACGGUGGAUUUUUUCCCCCCAAGCAGCGGAGACACUAACACCACAAACGGGAGGUGGAUUUGAUAAAAAGCCCGAAGUGACCGAGCUUGCUGGAAACGUGAUCAGACCAUGGAAUAACAGCGACACCUGCCCCAUUCCUCUGUGCACAACACAGCUCCUCAGCAGCCCCACCUGUGGGCCCCGUCAUGGCGGACCCAGGGAUGUUGAGCUUAUUUGGGGAUGAUGCGGGGCUCUUCUCUGAUGGAUUUGAUGGUCUGGGAGACUCCUAUCCCCAGCAAGCGGCCUCUGGCCAGACCAACCCCCCUAUGAACCAUGACCACCAGGGGACCAGGCCGUACCACCAAGGCAUGAUGGGGCCUGGUCCUGGACAGCCGAAAAUGGGUCAAAUGUACGACCAUGGCUCCUAUGGAGGCUAUGAUCAGAGUGGAGCUGCCCCGGGGCGAAUGAUGGCCCAGAAUGGUCCCAGUCAAGGGCCAACGAAUGUUAACCCAGCCAUGAACGGCAUGGCGUCCCACUACCACAACAACCAGGCAAACUCUACCAACCCCCUUCACGGAGGCUACCCGAGUGAUGGAGGGGCAGCCGCAGGGGGCUGGCCACAGCAGCAGCAGAACAGGUUGCCCUACCCACAGCCCCCGUCGCAGGGUGGUCCCAACCAGAUGGGAGGCUACCAGAUGCCCCAAGGCAACUACAGUGGGAUGCAAGGCCCUCCUGGUGCUAAUGCAGUACGUAUGAACCAACACUACCCUUCCCAGAGCAUGGCGCCUGCCUCUGCUCAGGACCCCUCGCACUACCUGGGACAUGUUGGGAUGAGUGGGCCCCAAAUGAGACAUCCCCAUCCACAGCAGCAACAAGGACAGGGCUAUACCAAUAUGGGCCACACUCCCAGAUACCCCCUCUCUCCCUCUCGUCAGCCCCCACACCCUCACCAGCACCCCCAGCAGGGCAUGGGGUCCUACGCGGGUGGCCAGUACCCUGGAUAUCAAGGCCAGUAUGGAGCUAUGGGACCUGGGAUGAAUCAAGGAGCCAAUGCUAAUGUAGGUCCCAACAACCAGGUCCUAGGACAGAGGUUCCCCAGGCAUCAGGCCCUGCAGCUGGGCAGCAGGGGCAGAGAUACCCCCUGGACCACCACACCAGCCUCAUCCUGCCCCAAUGCAGCCGGCGGGAUCGCAGGGCCAGCCUAUGCACCUCAACCACACCCAGUCUCAGACCCACCUCGCACCUCCAGCUCAGGGAUCGUACCCCUCUCCCUCCUUGUCCCCCUGAGGGGUUUGGGAACCCCUACCCCUCCACCCCAGGGGAGACCACCAAGUGCAGGACUAACUGGACCUUCGGAUGUAUCUGGAUAUAACUCCAUGCAAUCACCACCCAUGCCAUGUCACAUCAACAGAGGCCCCCUCAGGCCCCUUGCCUGCCACACACCCCCAGCACCAGCCGCACAUACCCCAAACGCAGGGCAGAUGUACCCCGGCAUCGGGCCACAGCAUCGAGCUCCGAUCGGCCCAAACAGACACCCCAUCCCGCCACAGCAAGGUCCUCACGAAGCCCCGGUGGGUCAGGGGGCUGAACAGCGCCUGCUCCAGGCCCAGCAGCAGCCCCCCGAAAUGGACAGCCCAUGCCUCCUGCCCCUAUGGGGUUCCAGGGCCCUGCUGUGGGUCAGCAUGGGGCUCAGGGCCCAAAUCAGAGCGUUCAUCCCCUCACCAACACCUGCCCCCCACCAGGCCGCACACCCCUGGGCACCUGCUGCCCCCACCCUCUCUCCUCGCCCCCCUCACCCCACAGAAAGUGCCUCAUGUUCAGGUGAGUGUGCUGCGUCGAUAGCGGUACGAUUGUGCACGUUUGGUUUUGUGUGGGUGUUUUUCAUGUGAAUGUUUGUUUUUCAUGUGGGUGGGGAGUGUAGUGUGAGCGGAGAGGAAGUGAGCGCCGUGUGUAUACAUGACAUUUGAGAACACAGCAGUGCAUCGGACUCGGGGGUCUGUUUCACAAAAGCCCCAGUCGUAGUGUGUCAGUCAGUGCCACCUGCUAACAAUCUGCCCAACAACCAGGCUACAUUUAUUGUUCUUGCACCAGUUUUAUUGUUUCCUCUUCAAUAAACUCGAGAUGACCAAGAACGAGCGUCAUGCACCAUAAGCUGUACUUCAGUCAACCUGCUCCUAUUGGACAACUACACAUCUUGAGUGUGCU